rnacentral:rRNA from 1 species
AUACGUAGGUGACAAGCGUUAUCCGGAUUUACUGGGCGUAAAGGGCGUGUAGGUGGUCUUGCAAGUCAGAAGUGAAAUUCCUGAGCUCAACUCGGGCGCUGCUUCUGAAACUGCAGGACUUGAGUGCUGGAGGGGAUAGCGGAAUUCCUAGUGGAGCGGUAAAAUGCGCAGAUAUUAGGAAGAACACCGGUGGCGAAGGCGGCUAGCUGGACAGGAACUGACGCUGAGGCGCGAAAGCGUGAGGAGCAAACAGGAUUAGAUCCCCUGGUAGUCCACGCCGUAAACGAUGAAUACUAGGUGUAGGGGGUAUCGACUCCCUCUGUGCCGCAGUUAACAAAAUAAGUAUUCCGCCUGGGGAGUACGGCCGCAAGGUUGAAACUCAAAUGAAUUGACGGGG